rnacentral:rRNA from 1 species
UGGGUAACCUGCCUCAAAGAGGGGAAUAGCCUCCCGAAAGGGAGAUUAAUACCGCAUAAUAUGUUUAGGUCGCAUGACUUUAACAUCAAAGGAUUUUUCUUUUAAGAAAUUCCACUUUGAGAUGGACCCGCGGCGCAUUAGCUAGUUGGUGAGGUAACGGCUCACCAAGGCAACGAUGCGUAGCCGACCUGAGAGGGUGAUCGGCCACAUUGGAACUGAGACACGGUCCAGACUCCGUAGGG